AAAAGUCUGGACUUGAAAGUCCUUGUGAGAAUAAUUGUCCCAUCUACUGGCUGGCUGGCAGAGGUUGUGAUCAACAGCUGUCAUAUUGAUUAAAGAGGAGAGACAAAGGUGUUUGCUUGGGCCGCAUGGUGCCCUGGGGAGUUGCCCCCAGCAGUGACCAUCCCAUCACCCAGUGAGUGUGUUCCAGAAAGCCCAGUGAGAACUGGAGGAGACCUGGAACCAAACCAGUGCAUUCUUGUGAUUAUUCUCCUGGCCAUCCUGAAAAAGCUUGGGAGUGAUGGCUUAUGAGGGAUUUUGAAGAAGAGAAAGGAAGAGGUCAGCUAAACCUGAAUGGAAGUGGGAUGUGCAGAAGGAAGGCUGAAAGAAUGGCUGUAACAAGCAACAAAAAAUGGCCCAGUUUUGUAGGCAAAUGGGAUCAAAGAAGCCCUACUUUACUCCUGCUGCAGUUGGAGCACAGUUGUGAACAGCAACGCUACUGGUACCAUGGCAAUGACCAAAAUGAUUUGGGUAUAAAUUUUCAUGCUGGCAUGUGUAGGAGGGAAUGUUUUGUAAAUAUGAGGUGA
rnacentral:lncRNA from 1 species